CUGGCGGCGUGCUUAACACGAUGCAAGUCGAACGAAGCACGUUUAUUACGAUUUCUUCGGAAUGACGAUUUAGUGACUGAGUGGCGGACGGGUGAGUAACGCGUGGGUAACCUGCCUUAUACAGGGGGAUAACAGUUAGAAAUGACUGCUAAUACCGCAUAAGCGCACAGGAUUGCAUGAUCUGGUGUGAAAAACUCCGGUGGUAUAAGAUGGACCCGCGUCUGAUUAGCUGGUUGGUGAGGUAAACGGGCCCACCAAGGCGACGAUCAGUAGCCGACCUGAGAGGGUGACCGGCCACAUUGGGACUGAGACACGGGCCCAAACUCCUACGGGAGGCAGCAGUGGGGAAUAUUGCACAAUGGGGGAAACCCUGAUGCAGCGACGCCGCGUGAGCGAAGAAGUAUUUCGGUAUGUAAAGCUCUAUCAGCAGGGAAGAAAAAAAUGACGGUACCUGACUAAGAAGCCCCGGCUAACUACGUG
rnacentral:rRNA from 1 species